rnacentral:rRNA from 1 species
CCAGCCGCGGGAAUACAGAGGGUGCGAGCGUUAAUCGGAUUUACUGGGCGUAAAGCGUGCGUAGGCGGCUUCUUAAGUCGGAUGUGAAAUCCCUGAGCUUAACUUAGGAAUUGCAUUCGAUACUGGGAAGCUAGAGUAUGGGAGAGGAUGGUAGAAUUCCAGGUGUAGCGGUGAAAUGCGUAGAGAUCUGGAGGAAUACCGAUGGCGAAGGCAGCCAUCUGGCCUAAUACUGACGCUGAGGUACGAAAGCAUGGGGAGCAGACAGGAUUAGAGACCCGAGUAGUCCCUGUCUCUUAUACAC